rnacentral:misc_RNA from 1 species
GAUGAAGAACGUAGCGAAAUGCGAUAAGUAAUGUGAAUUGCAGAAUUCAGUGAAUCAUCGAGUCUUUGAACGCACAUUGCGCCCCCUGGUAUUCCGGGGGGCAUGCCUGUCCGAGCGUCAUUGCUGCCCUCAAGCACGGCUUGUGUGUUGGGCCCCCGUCCCCGGUUUCCCCCGGGGACGGGCCCGAAAGGCAGCGGCGGCACCGCGUCCGGUCCUCGAGCGUAUGGGGCUUUGUCACCCGCUCUUGUAGGCCCGGCCGGCGCUUGCCGACACAUCAAUCUUUUUUCCAGGUUGACCUCGGAUCAGGUAGGGAUACCCGCUGAACUUAAGCAUAUCAAUAAGCGGAGGA